GAAGGUCCGAUUUUAUAAAUUUGAGAGCCCCUCUCUUAGAGGAGACCUAGAGGAGAUCGUCUUGUUCAAGACCCCAACAGUUGUUCCCCUCUUUCUUCUUCCUCAUUCUAUAGAUCACACCAAACAGAGGAAGGGAACAGUAGCAAAAUACAGUAGGAAUAAAGAUCCUAAGACCUCCUGAUGCUCCUCUAUGAGAACAAAGAAUGCUUCCCCCAAUUUUAGAAAGUAAAUUCCAGAUUUGAAAGAAUUCAAAAGGGUUUAAACAGAAACACAAAGAGCUCAGAAAGGAUUGUUUCGAUUUUUGCCGAGAUUUGAUGCCGAUUUUCUGGUUUUGCUGAAGAAGUUUUAUUGUUAUUGUUUACUAUUUGGGCGUUCGAAUUUCAUACUCUAGCUUCGAGCUUUGCUGAUUCUUGUUUAGCUGAUUCUUCGCACUUUGUAGUUGCUUAUUUUAGAGAUUUAUCUUCUAUUUAGCUCGGGUUCUGCUGUAAUCAGGUACUACAUUUUGGUUGAAUAGUAUAAAGCUCGUAUUUGUUUGGGUGAGAUUUGUAUGGAAUUAUGAUGGUUUCAUUUGUUUCAUUUCUACGAUUGAUUGAUAGCUAUUUUUACUUUCUUUUUGCGAUUUUUCUAAACUAUUGUGAUUUGUUUGGAAUGUGGAGAUGAAUAUUAAAUUUAAGUCUAGUAUGAUUACUUAGCAAAAUAAGGAAAAGGAAGGAUUGAAAUCUGCACUUUUUCUUUUUAUUGAGUAAAAUGGGCUGAAGGAUAAAAUUUAGUAAGCACGGGAGAAACAGAACAAAGACAGAUUUGAAAAUUUUAGCCAAAAACCAACUUUGAGGUUCUUGUUCCGCUCGUAAUUCAAUUUUUUAGUGUAGAUCAUAUAGCUGGAUUUCUUCUUUGCUGGUUUGACGGUGAUAUAUAAGUUUACUUAGAGACUUUAAAAUUUGAUCCAGAAGAGAUGUUUCAAUUAAAAAGUUUGUUGCUUUUCACCAUUAUUUUUGGCAGAACAAUUUUUUCUUUUGUUGUCAUGAAAUUGGUACAACAUUGUUUCCAUAUUCAAGCUUGUUUCAGUAAGUUGUAAAGUUAAGGUCUAUUGUCUUUUUUGUCCACAAUUUAUUUGAAUUGGUUAUUUAUUUUGGAGUUUUGUUUUAGUUUGAAGAAUUAAUUGUUUGAUAUAAGAUUUAAAAAAUAGUUAAGUGAAACUAUAUGAAAUGGAUUACACUAAUGGCACGAAAAUAUUUUGUUUGGAUUACUCACAUAAAAAUUAGAUUUGGGUCGUGGAUUAAGCAUACAUAGGCUAAAUAAUGUAGUCACUUAUGCUUGCUAAUUGUAAUAUUCCUUUUGAAAAGCUAAUUCACUUUUUAUCAAUAAUUUAUUUUAUAUCAUUCACACAAUAUCAUAUCCGCACUUCAAGACCUCACAACAACCCCAAAUGUUGGUGAUUAAGCCAUGAACAUCUGUAGUUUGCGUUAGGCACGUAAUUAAAUCAUUACAAUUACGGGUACCAUUCUCGUGACGUAGUUGUAAAACCUAAUUUCAAAUUAAAUUAAAUAGGAGCAUUCUUAGUUUGCUUUAGUGAAAUACAAAUCUUUUAAAAUCGAGGUGUGCCAUUCACAAUUGAAUCACCUAAUCUAUGGGCCUCACACUAAGGUCCCAUUCCCUAGCUAAUGACAACAUAACCUGGUAAUUCCUGAGGACCUUAUUUGGAAUAACUUGAUUACUUUUCUGGCAUAAUCCGUGGACAUUCCCGGCAUAAUCCGAGGAUCUUUUCCAGCAUAACUGGAUGACUUUCCCGGAAUAACCCUUGGACCUCCCCGGUAUAACUCGAGGACCUUUCCCGGCAUAACCUGCGGACCUCCCCGCCAUAACCCGAGGACCUUUUUUGGCAUAACCCGGUGAAUUUUCCAACAUAACCAUAGACCUCCUCGGCAUAACCCGAAGACCGUUUCCAGCAUAACCCGAUGACUUUUCUGGCAUGACCCGUGGACCUCCCGGGCAUAACCGAGGAUCUUUUUUGGCAUAGUCCGAUGACUAUCCCAGCAUAACCCGUAGACCUCCUCGGCAUAACUCGAUGACCUCUUUUCGGCAUAACCCGAUGAUUUUUCCGGCAUAACUUGGUCGUUUUUCCAGCAUAAUCUGGUAAUCUUCCCAACAUAAGGUCUCUGAUCCCCGUUUAGUUUCAUAUUAGAUGUAGAGUCUCCAUUCCCUCAUAUCUUUUUCUUAGGGAUACACAAUCCCAUUUUUAAUUGCUUUCAAUAAAGAAACAACUUAGAUUUUGUUGUAAUAACUAACAAAUUUUUUCCUAGUGAAAACAUGGACAGAAAAUUUUUAUUUGUUUGUUUGUUUUGGUGCCUGAACAGGUUUUACCGUAACGCACGAGGUUUUAGAUGACCAAA
rnacentral:lncRNA from 1 species